GGCAAGAUGGUGUAGUGGUUUAAACAUUGGACUAUGAUUCUGGAGAUCAGCGUUUGAAUCCCAGCCUGGCCA